UCACCACCCCCUCCUGUGCAUGGCUCACCGCGGUCUCAGCGUCUGUGGUGCGCUGAAUUCGUAUCACAGACCGCUUGGAUCACAGUGCGCUGUUGUGAUGGUUACACUCGUGGU
rnacentral:precursor_RNA from 8 species